rnacentral:rRNA from 1 species
CCAAUAGCGUAUAUUAAAGUUGUUGCAGUUAAAAAGCUCGUAGUUGAACUUCGGGGUUUACUCAUUGGUCAGGCUUAAUUGUCUGUACUGGUGAGAUGAAUCUCUACCUUCUGAGGAACUUUCAUGCCAUUUAUUUGGUGUGAUUGGAAAUCAGGACUGUUACUUUGAAAAAAUUAGAGUGUUUAAAGCAGGCUAACGUCUGAAUACAUUAGCAUGGAAUACUGAAAUAGGACGGAUUGAUUCUAUUUCGUUGGUUUCCAGGGUCACCGUAAUGAUUAAUAGGGAUAGUUGGGGGCAUUAGUAUUCAAUUGUCAGAGGUGAAAUUCUUGGAUUUAUUGAAGACUAACUACUGCGAAAGCAUUUGCCAAGGAUGUUUUCAUUAAUCAAGAACGAAAGUUAGGGGAUCGAAGACGAUCAGAUACCGUCGUAGUCUUAACCAUAAACUAUGCCGACUAGGGAUCGGACGCAGUUAAUUUUAUAAUGACGUGUUCGGCACCUUACG